AAGACUGGGAUAACUCCGGGAAACCGGGGCUAAUACCGGAUGGUKGUCUGAACCGCGUGGUUCAGACAUAAAAGGUGGCUUCGGSUACSACUUACAGAUGGACCCGCGGCGSAUUAGCUAGUUGGUGAGGUAACGGSUCACCAAGGCGACGAUGCGUAGCCGACCUGAGAGGGUGAUCGGCCACACUGGGACUGAGACACGGCCCAGACUCCUACGGGAGGCAGCAGUAGGGAAUCUUCCGCAAUGGACGAAAGUCUGACGGAGCAACGCCGCGUGAGUGAUGAAGGUUUUCGGAUCGUAAAGCUCUGUUGUUAGGGAAGAACAAGUGCCGUUCAAAUAGGGCGGCACCUUGACGGUACCUAACCAGAAAGCCACGGCUAACUACGUGCCAGCAGCCGCGGUAAUACGUAGGUGGCAAGCGUUGUCCGGAAUUAUUGGGCGUAAAGGGCUCGCAGGCGGUUUCUUAAGUCUGAUGUGAAAGCCCCCGGCUCAACCGGGGAGGGUCAUUGGAAACUGGGGAACUUGAGUGCAGAAGAGGAGAGUGGAAUUCCACGUGUAGCGGUGAAAUGCGUAGAGAUGUGGAGGAACACCAGUGGCGAAGGCGA
rnacentral:rRNA from 2 species